GGCUUAGAAGCAGCCACUCAUUAAAAGAGUGCGUAAUAGCUCACUGGUCGAGUGAUUCUGCGCCGAAAAUUUAACGGGGCUAAACUAUACACCGAAGCUUAGGAUACCGCAAGGUAUGGUAGGAGAGCGUUCUGUACGGAGUGAAGUCGUAGCGAAAGCGGCGGUGGACUGUACAGAAGUGAGAAUGCCGGAAUAAGUAGCGAGAAUUAAGUGAGAAUCUUAAUGGCCGAAAGUCUAAGGUUUUUGGAGGAAGGUUCGUCCGCUCCAAGUAAGUCGGGAGCUAAGGUCAGGCCGAAAGGCGUAGCCGAUGCACAAACGGUUGAUAUUCCGUUACCGUCUACAAUUUAAACAAAGGGACACAUACAAAGCGUUUAACCCGGGCGAUGGUUGACCCGGGCGCAAGGGACUGAAAUAAGAGUAGGGAAGUAAAUGUGGCGUAUGGCGAGAAAAGCUUUGUGUAUAGAAGUAGACGCCCGUACCGCAAACCGACACAGGUGGACAGGAAGAGAAUUCUAAGGCCAGCGGGAGAAGGGUAGUUAAGGAACUCGGCAAAUUGACUCCGUAACUUCGGAAUAAGGAGUGCUCGAAAGAGCCGCAGAGAAUAGGCCCAGGCGACUGUUUAGCAAAAACACAGGUCUCUGCCAAAUCGAAAGAUGAAGUAUAGGGGCUGACACCUGCCCGGUGCCGGAAGGUUAAGAGGAGGAGUGCAAGCUCCGAAUUGAAGCCCCGGUAAACGGCGGCCGUAACUAUAACGGUCCUAAGGUAGCGAAAUUCCUUGUCGGGUAAGUUCCGACCCGCACGAAUGGUGUAACGAUCUGGGCACUGUCUCAACUACCCACCCGGCGAAAUUGUAGUACCGGUGAAGAUGCCGGUUACCUGCGGCAAGACGGAAAGACCCCAUGGAGCUUUACUGUAGCCUGAUAUUGGGUUUCGGAAAUCUAUGUACAGGAUAGGCGGGAGACUGGGAAGUAUGAGCGUCAGCUUAUACGGAGUCAUUGUUGGGAUACCGCCCUUAGGUUUCUGGAAUUCUAACCUGCGACCGUGAAUCCGGUCGGGGGACAUUGUCAGGUGGGCAGUUUGACUGGGGCGGUCGCCUCCGAAAAGGUAACGGAGGCGCUCAAAGGUUGGCUCAGCACGGACGGAAACCGUGCCUCUGAGUGUAAACGCAAAAGCCAGCCUAACUGCGAGGAUGACGGUCCGAGCAGUAACGAAAGUUGGAGUUAGUGAUCCGGCGGUAUGUGAAUGGAAAUGCCGUCGCUCAACGGAUAAAAGCUACCCUGGGGAUAACAGGCUGAUCUCCCCCAAGAGUCCACAUCGACGGGGAGGUUUGGCACCUCGAUGUCGGCUCAUCACAUCCUGGGGCUGUAUUCGGUCCCAAGGGUUCGGCUGUUCGCCGAUUAAAGUGGUACGCGAGCUGGGUUCAGAACGUCGCGAGACAGUUCGGUCCCUAUCUGUCGUGGGCGCAGGAUAUUUGAGGAGCUCUGUCCUUAGUACGAGAGGACCGGGAUGGACGUACCUCUGGUGCACCAGUUGUCAUGCCAAUGGCACGGCUGGGCAGCUACGUACGGAACGGAUAAACGCUGAAAGCAUCUAAGCGUGAAGCCGACUCCAAGAUUAGAUAUCCCAUUGCAUAAGCAAGUAAGACCCCUUGAGGACUACGAGGUUGAUAGGCUGCGUGUGUAAGUGUCGUGAGGCAUUUAGCUUGGCAGUACUAAUAGGUCGAGGGCUUGACCA
rnacentral:rRNA from 1 species